rnacentral:rRNA from 1 species
UACGUAGGGGGCAAGCGUUGUCCGGAAUUAUUGGGCGUAAAGAGCGUGUAGGCGGUCCGAUAAGUCGGCUGUGAAAGUCCAGGGCUCAACCCUGGGAUGCCGGUCGAUACUGUCGGACUAGAGUUCGGAAGAGGCGAGUGGAAUUCCCGGUGUAGCGGUGAAAUGCGCAGAUAUCGGGAGGAACACCUAUGGCGAAGGCAGCUCGCUGGGACGUUACUGACGCUCAUGCACGAAAGCGUGGGGAGCAAACAGG